GAGCAGUCGCCAUAUUCCCUUCCAUAUCGGCUAACUCUGAUGAGUGUAAGGUUAUGUAAUUGGAUUGUUCCUUGUGCAAAACCGAUUGGUUUGUUGGUCAUGAUAUGGAUAGUAAAGCUGUGUUUGAGCAAAUGUAUCGCCUUGGCAAAAUAAAAAAAAUUCUACUUUCCCAUAAAAUCAGACAAAAACUGUUUAGUGGAGAAUUAGAAGUUAGAGAAAAUGAUGAUGGAGAAUUGGAAGCUGUAUAUGAUUUCCUUGGAACUAUCAGACAAUAUCUGCAAAUUACCUUUG
rnacentral:lncRNA from 1 species